GACGAACGCUGGCGGCGUGCUUAACACAUGCAAGUCGAACGGGCUCUGUCUGGCUGUGUGCUGGGUGGGGUUAGUGGCGAACGGGUGAGUAAUACGUGAGUAACCUGCCCUCUUCUUUGGGAUAAGCCUUGGAAACGGGGUCUAAUACUGGAUAUUCCUGUCUGGUCGCAUGGCUGGGUGGGGAAAGUUUUUUCGGUGGGGGAUGGGCUCGCGGCCUAUCAGCUUGUUGGUGGGGUGAUGGCCUACCAAGGCGUCGACGGGUAGCCGGCCUGAGAGGGUGACCUGCCACACUGGGACUGAGCUACGGCCCAGCCUCCUACGGGAGGCGGCAGUGGGGGAUAUUGCACGAUGGGCGCAAGCCUGAUGCAGCGACGCCGCGUGGGGGAUGACGGCUUUCGGGUUGUAAACCUCUUUCGUCGGGGGACAAGGCUCUGCUUGGUGGUGGGGUUGAGGGUACCCGGUGAAGAAGCGCCGGCUAACUACGUG
rnacentral:rRNA from 1 species